GACGAACGCUGGCGGCGUGCUUAACACAUGCAAGUCGAGCGGUAAGGCCCUUUCGGGGGUACACGAGCGGCGAACGGGUGAGUAACACGUGGGUGACCUGCCCUCAGCUCUGGGAUAAGCCUGGGAAACCGGGUCUAAUACCGGAUAUGACUCCAUGACGCAUGUUGUGGGGUGGAAAGCCUUGUGCGGCUGAGGAUGGGCCCGCGGCCUAUCAGCUUGUUGGUGGGGUGAUGGCCUACCAAGGCGACGACGGGUAGCCGGCCUGAGGAGGGCGACCGGCCACACUGGGACUGAGACACGGCCCAGACUCCUACGGGAGGGCAGCAGUGGGGAAUCUUGCGCAAUGGGCGAAAGCCUGACGCAGCGACGCCGCGUGAGGGAUGAC
rnacentral:rRNA from 1 species